UGUGCCUACGGGAGGCAGCAGUGGGGAAUAUUGCACAAUGGGGGAAACCCUGAUGCAGCGACGCCGCGUGAGUGAAGAAGUAUCUCGGUAUGUAAAGCUCUAUCAGCAGGGAAGAAAUUGGACGGUACCUGACUAAGAAGCCCCGGCUAACUACGUGCCAGCAGCCGCGGUAAUACGUAGGGGGCAAGCGUUAUCCGGAUUCACUGGGUGUAAAGGGAGCGUAGACGGCCAUGCAAGCCUGGAGUGAAAGCCCGGGGCCCAACCCCGGGACUGCUCUGGGAACUGUGCGGCUGGAGUGCGGGAGG
rnacentral:rRNA from 1 species